AUGUCAGCAGUCCUCCCUGUUGUGAUAGAUUGCAUAGGAUGCUGCUUCCGGAUCCAAAGGAACAAUCGACAGACGUCACAAAGAUCCACCUCUGGCUGCAUCAGAAAAUUAUGCUCCUGGCGCCACCAGCGAGUGCACCCCGCUAAUGGGUCGGGGACAGAAGAAACCCCGGGCUCCCAUGAAAGGCUGCCCAGCACCGCAGGAGGAAUAGAGGCUCCAAGUGGCUGCACAAUGCCGGCCGAUGACGCAACUAAUAAUAAUGGCAUGGCUUUGGAGCGCCCCACUCCAGUGACAAACAAUCGGGGUGAAGAAGAAGAAGAUUGCAUAGGAUGCUGCUUCCGGAUCCAAAGGAACAAUCGACAGACGUCACAAAGAUCCACCUCUGGCUGCAUCAGAAAAUUAUGCUCCUGGCGCCACCAGCGAGUGCACCCCGCUAAUGGGUCGGGGACAGGUACGUGGAGAUUUUCUCCUUCGGUGCAUGCAAGAAUAAUUUUUCUUUAGGGUCCCCUGUAUACGAAUGAACUCGGAAGUAUUUUGUGGUAUCCUUUGUGCGUGCGUGCGUGCGUGCGUGCGUGCGUGUGUGUCCAAGUUGAAACAUACUUAGUCAGGUGGUAGUGUUUAUAUACCUGUGGAAAUAAAACGACUUUGAAAUCUCA
rnacentral:lncRNA from 1 species